UUUCGGCGCAGCAGCGGCCCGGAGGCGUUUCGGGGAGGAAACGUCCGCUCGUCAAAGAGCGAAAAGAAGCCCGCCGCGAUGUAUCCCCCGCGGCGGGCUUUUUUGCGUC
rfam:Brevundimonas sp. Root1423 contig_18, whole genome shotgun sequence.